GACGAACGCUGGCGGCGUGCCUAACACAUGCAAGUCAACUUGACUGAAGGAGCAAUCUGACAGUAGAGUGGCGCAAGGGUGCGUAACGCGUAAGUAACUUGCCCAAGGUAAGGAAUAACGUCGAGAAAUCGGCGCUAAUACCUCAUAAUGCAGCGGAUCCGCAUGGAUAUGUUGCUAAAGGUUUACCGCCUUGGGAUAGGCUUGCGUCUGAUUAGCUAGUUGGUGUGGUAACGGCACACCAAGGCUACGAUCAGUAACUGGUCUGAGAGGAUGAUCAGUCACACUGGAACUGAGACACGGUCCAGACUCCUACGGGAGGCAGCAGUGAGGAAUAUUGGGCAAUGCUCGAAAGAGUGACCCAGCAACGCCGCGUGGAGGAUGAAGGUAUUCUAUAUCGUAAACUCCUGUGAGAGCAGACGAAAGACAGAUUAUAAUCUGGAUGACUGUAUGCUCAGAGGAAGCCCCGG
rnacentral:rRNA from 1 species